CGAAAUAGUAUAGCUGGCAAAGAAAGAAAGAAAGACAGUAUAGCACAUUAGCACUAGUCGUGAAAAUUGUUUUCAACAAUGUUCAACAAAUAAAAUAUGCUUGUCUAUGCAAAAUAACAUUAGUUGGCAACCGUCCGUAGCGUAAUUACUGCACCUGCUGUCUCUGUCAUAUCUACAUGCAUACUCGACGAGAUAAAAUGAUAGAUAUAACACUGUCACUGUUGAAUUUCGAGGUAUCCAAGCUUUCGAACGUACAAAACAAUAUGAUGUUAAUGACCUGAACAUGUAUUACCUUGAAGAAGAUAAAACGUAUUAUACCUUGACUCAUCUUCUCUUAUUCUUUACUUUAAUAUUUCGAACUUUGAAUUAUGUUACGUAACUAUAGGUAAUAGUUUAUUUAAGAUAAAUAAAUUAGAAAGAAUUAAAAAUAGAAAAGAACUAUUACAACGUAGUUCGAUGGUAUUAAAAAUCGGCAAAGAUCGGUAAACAUCGAUAAGAAUCGACAAUGACCAAAGAUUUCGACAUUAAGUAUUCUUUCUUCCUUUUUUUUUCUUUUUCCUUUCUUUUUUCUUUUAUUUUGUUGGUCUACGCAAGACCGUAAUAUAUUCUUUCAAAGAAACGCGUACGCUCUCGCGCGAUGGCGCAAAUCGGUUGGCAUCACCUUCGAAUCUUCUUUAGAAUGCAAAUCAGUCGAAGGUGAACGUACGAGGACGGCUUCUUUUCAGGCCCCUGUUCUUACGGUUAGUCCGGUAAGUGCCACGAAAAUAAACGGAACGAUGAUAAUUGAUCGGAGCUACUUUGUAUUCAUAGGGGAAUAUCGUAACUCGUCGUCGUCGUCGUAGUCGUCGUCGUAGUCGUCGUCGUGGUGAAACGAGACAUUGUAUAGGAUUCCACAUGAAAUCGUGUCCCGGACGUUUGUCUAUAAACAGCUUACCACCGAUAGAUCCACCUAGAAAAGUUACAGGAUAUUGUACGAAAGUAUAAUUCAACGUUCGAAAAUGGAAAAGAAAAAGAUCGUAGAACAACUCCUUGGACUAUCUCCAGCAAUAGCUAGCAUUCCUAACGUUUGACGCUGCUUCUAAUAGUAAAACAUAGUGUACCUGGCAGAGUUUAAGAUAGACUACGCCGGAAUAACAAUAUAAUGCGAAUCUAGCACGCAAAACGAGUGACAUCGAUGAGUACACACGCUUCUCUUUCCACAAGCACUUUAUCUUUUUUUAAUCAGUAAUCACUAUUCAUGUCAACUGUAGUCACGAUACUCGUAAUGGUCACAGAGAGUAACGAGCUCGUGUUAAUUACUUUACUACAAAUGAAUGAAAAUCAAGCUCGCAUAAAAAACAAAUUGACAACAUGGUAAAAAAAAAUACAAUAAAAUAAAUUCACACAUUUGUUAAGUUCCGUUUUGCUGAAUAAAAUAGAUCGUUGGUUUAAGCUCGA